rnacentral:rRNA from 1 species
UAAGGAAUAUUGGUCAAUGGACGAAAGUCUGAACCAGCCAUGCCGCGCGAAGGAUUAAGGCCCUCUGGGUUGUAAACUUCUUUUAUCUGGGACGAAAAAAGGGUAUUCUUACUCACUUGACGGUACCAGAGGAAUAAGCACCGGCUAACUCCGUGCCAGCAGCCGCGGUAAUACGGAGGGUGCAAGCGUUAUCCGGAUUUACUGGGUUUAAAGGGUGCGUAGGUGGGUCUGUAAGUCAGUGGUGAAAUCUCCGAGCUUAACUCGGAAACUGCCAUUGAUACUAUAGGUCUUGAAUUAUCUGGAGGUAAGCGGAAUAUGUCAUGUAGCGGUGAAAUGCUUAGAUAUGACAUAGAACACCAAUUGCGAAGGCAGCUUACUACGGAUAUAUUGACACUGAGGCACGAAAGCGUGGGGAUCAAACAGGAUUAGAUACCCUGGUAGUCCACGCCCUAAACGAUGGAUACUCGACAUCAGCGAUACACUGUUGGUGU